rnacentral:rRNA from 1 species
GAUGAACGCUGCCAGAAUGCUUAACACAUGCAAGUCUACUUGAACUUCGGUUUGGGUGGCGGACGGGUGAGUAACGCGUAAAGAACUUGCCUCACAGAUAGGGACAACAUUUGGAAACGAAUGCUAAUACCUGAUAUUAUGAUUUUAGGGCAUCCUAGAAUUAUGAAAGCUAUAUGCACUGUGAGAGAGCUUUGCGUCCCAUUAGCUAGUUGGAGAGGUAACGGCUCACCAAGGCGAUGAUGGGUAGCCGGCCUGAGAGGGUGAUCGGCCACAAGGGGACUGAGACACGGCCCUUACUCCUACGGGAGGCAGCAGUGGGGAAUAUUGGACAAUGGACCAAGAGUCUGAUCCAGCAAUUCUGUGUGCACGAUGAAGUUUUUCGGAAUGUAAAGUGCUUUCAGUUGGGAAGAAAAAAAUGACGGUACCAACAGAAGAAGUGACGGCUAAAUACGUG